CGCUCGUAUAUACAGUGUUCGGGCCAAAGCUGCACUAGCUGCUGCGUGCGAAACACAUUUGACCUCCCUUAAAAUGCUGCAAACUAUGAGGUCUGUGCAUAUGAAACGUAUUGUAUUCACCCUUCAUGCCGAGGCACAUGCAUCGAUGGAGCCCAUGCAUUGCCGUCAGGUACCCCUCGUCCCUAAGAUCUACUGCUGUAACAACCACGCACACAUACUGCUAGUAGUCAUAAGAGCUGUAAUUCCUGUGACCUCUGGUGUCCUGUUCGCGCCAGUUGCACCGCAAACGCUUCCACAUGAACUGUUAAACUGUUUAAAAUUUUCGUAUUCUUAAGUAUCGCGCGUGUGUAUGCUUUGAAAAUACAGGAGAUGGAAAAGGUACGCUUACAGCGCUAGCCGUCAGCGAUUUCUGGCUUACCAGGGUCUCAAGAUCUAGGACCUCUUUUCCGAAAGCACUGAAAGGAGUUUUGCAACGUUAUGUAAUCUUUUCGGGGACUUUCCAUGGACCUGCCGGCGAAGUAAGGGAAUGAUAUGCGCACGCCGCCGAAUAAGUAAUUAUCAGUAAAUUGUUAACCUGCAGGUAUCACGUUGAACUUCUUAAUGCAAUGCCAACAUAAACCAAACAGAACAAGCCUACAACAUGACUUCCAAAGGGUGGCAUGUAUGUUAGAAGCGCCCUGCAUUCCGCUAAGGUACAGCUUGUUUGCUAUUUGGACGGAACAGUCUUUUUUGCGUUCUUUUCCGAGUACCUCUUACACUGCUUGUCCUGCGCAUCCUUUACAUGUACUACGGCUAAGGGAUCCCUUCCGGAUGAUGAAGAAUGUGCUUUAUGCUGGACCAAUUACACAUCACGAUCAGCAUCGAUUAAGCGGCUCCAGGAGCUGGUACCAGCUGGUACCGGCCGGUGCUUAGGGCCCGAUCCGCCGCCGGGAGGACGACUUCCUGAGGCAAACACGACGGACAUCCCGAACGGUGCUUACAUCCGUGUUAUGGAAAAUUGCUCUUACGUGUGUGGACCGGACGGAUGGACAAGAGGCAACGUUUUGCAUCACUUGUUUCUUGGCCGCAAGCAGCAACGUAGUGAAGGACAUGGACGCGCAUGCACAGGCCAUGGAAUGGUAUGUCUAAAUCAUGGAUGGCGACGUUCAACUCUCAGAAUGGUGAUUUCUGCCUUUGGGUUCAAUUCUGAACCUGGAAUGCUGCUGGCUCUGCCCGUACCGGAAAAGUGCUUUCCGGUACGGCGGUGCCAGGAGGUGGUAUCUACGUCGUCUUAGGGGCAACCCUAAGACCAAGGGGAUGAACGAAUACAUAUACACUUUCUGUUUCUUGGCUGCAGCAAGUGUUGUCCUGGGCGCAACGUUGAUGGCCUGAUGCCGACGCGACCUCCUUUACGACAAUGCUAGGCAAACGCAGCGGAUGUUCAUGAAUUACUUAAGCGUUCAUAUUACUCGUCACAGCUUCAACGGCACUGUACUGGGCGGAUGUAAGACGUGCGUUGGUGGACGCGAUGGCCUUACGAAGGGGGAGAAAGACGCUUAGGAGAUGCUUGGAUUGUUAUGUACAAGUCACAGACGGGGACGUUUAACUCUAUGAAUGCUGAGUUUUAGCUACUAGUCGGGUUUUUUGAACUUCGCUGUUGUUGUUUCCGCCCGUACAGGAAAAGUGUCUUCUGAUACGGCGGUCACAGCAGGUAGUAUCCACGUCGACUUGUAUGCAAACCAAAUACAACGAAACCAGGGGAUGAUAUGACAGUUUUGGAAUGCUUGUUUCUUGGCCGCAAGCAGCAGCAUACUUAAAUCGCGUUGGGCCAUUUGCCCAGGCUGCCGCAAGGACGACAAGCCAGGCUAAUGCAGCUGGUGUCCAUGACGGGUUCAUUACGUGCUGAAUAUGAAAGAUUGCUACAAAGACUCUGGCCCUGACGAACGUAAAAUGUGAUGUUCGUAAGGAAGAAAACAGACGCAUAUCCAAGGCAUGGAGCUGUUUGUAGGGAAACCGUAAAUGAAGGUUUAAGGAACUGAACGAUGAAUUCUGCCGGUGUGGUCGGUUCUGGAUCUCUUAUGUUGCUCGUCACGCUCGUACGGAAAAUGGGCAUUUGUUGCAGGAGGGAGUCUGUGUGUCAAGUCGUAGUCGAACCUUUUUCAAAGGGGAUGAGCACACACACAGCUUGCAUUCCAUGUUCACUAAUGUCAGCCCACAGUAAGCUACUGGGCUAGACUUGGAGGGUCCGACCGGGGCAACUCGUUGCUGUGGACUUGUAGGCAAGUCAAGUAGGGCUAUGGAAUGCUAGGACAAUGUUAUUAUGUUUGUGUUAUAGGCUUGGGUAGGAAUUCUUAAGCAAUACGUUGAGUGGCUUUUCCGCCGGCGGGAGGACGACAAUCCCACGCAAACAGGACGGAUGUUCCGAAUGUUGCUUACAUUCAUGUUGUCGAAGCUCGCGACGACGGCUCUGGACAGGACGGAUGUCAAGUGUGCGUUGGUGGACGUGAUGGCAACGUAGUGAAGGACACGGACGCGCAUGCACAGGCCAUGGAAUGGUAUGUCUAAAUCAUGGAUGGCGACGUUCAACUCUCAGAAUGGUGAUUUCUGCCUUUGGGUUCAAUUCUGAACCUGGAAUGCUGCUGGCUCUGCCCGUACCGGAAAAGUGCUUUCCGGUACGGCGGUGUCAGGAGGUGGUAUCUACGUCGUCUUAGGGGCAACCCUAAGACUAAGGGGAUGAACGAAUAGAGAUAUACUUAGGGUUUCUUGNNNNNNNNNNNNNNNNNNNNNNNNNNNNNNNNNNNNNNNNNNNNNNNNNNNNNNNNNNNNNNNNNNNNNNNNNNNNNNNNNNNNNNNNNNNNNNNNNNNNNNNNNNNNNNNNNNNNNNNNNNNNNNNNNNNNNNNNNNNNNNNNGGUGAGAUGGUAAAAAGGCGGAUGUGUGGCGCGGCUACCAUCGUACCCAAUGGGUGCGAUGGUAAACAGGCGGAUGUGUGGCACGGCUACCAUCGUACCCAAUGGGUGCAAUGGUAAAAAGGCGGAUGUGUGGCACGGCUACCAUCGUACCCAAUGGGUGCGAUGGUAAAAAGGCGGAUGUGUGGCACGGCUACCAUCGUACCCAAUGGGUGCGAUGGUAAACAGGCGGCGAUGGUAAACAGGCGGAUGUGUGGCACGGCUACCAUCGUACCCAAUGGGUGCGAUGGUAAAAAGGCGGAUGUGUGGCGCGGCUACCAUCGUACCCAAUGGGUGCGAUGGUAAACAGGCGGCGAUGGUAAACAGGCGGAUGUGUGGCACGGCUACCAUCGUACCCAAUGGGUGCGAUGGUAAAAAGGCGGAUGUGUGGCGCGGCUACCAUCGUACCCAAUGGGUGCGAUGGUAAACAGGCGGCGAUGGUAAACAGGCGGAUGUGUGGCACGGCUACCAUCGUACCCAAUGGGUGCAAUGGUAAAAAGGCGGAUGUGUGGCGCGGCUACCAUCGUACCCAAUGGGUGCGAUGGUAAAAAGGCGGAUGUGUGGCACGGCUACCAUCGUACCCAAUGGGUGCGAUGGUAAACAGGCGGCGAUGGUAAACAGGCGGAUGUGUGGCACGGCUACCAUCGUACCCAAUGGGUGCGAUGGUAAAAAGGCGGAUGUGUGGCGCGGCUACCAUCGUACCCAAUGGGUGCGAUGGUAAACAGGCGGCGAUGGUAAACAGGCGGAUGUGUGGCACGGCUACCAUCGUACCCAAUGGGUGCGAUGGUAAAAAGGCGGAUGUGUGGCGCGGCUACCAUCGUACCCAAUGGGUGCGAUGGUAAACAGGCGGCGAUGGUAAACAGGCGGAUGUGUGGCACGGCUACCAUCGUACCCAAUGGGUGCAAUGGUAAAAAGGCGGAUGUGUGGCGCGGCUACCAUCGUACCCAAUGGGUGCGAUGGUAAAAAGGCGGAUGUGUGGCACGGCUACCAUCGUACCCAAUGGGUGCGAUGGUAAACAGGUGGCGAUGGUAAACAGGCGGAUGUGUGGCACGGCUACCAUCGUACCCAAUGGGUGNNNNNNNNNNNNNNNNNNNNNNNNNNNNNNNNNNNNNNNNNNNNNNNNNNAAAACGUCGGGUUGUAUGUGGUGGAGCAGGUCACUGGAUAUGAAGGGAGGAUCUUGAAUUUGAACAUCAACAUGUUUUCUUCUAUCUUAAGCUCAGGGCCUACUUUAGGUGCAGCACGUUGUGUUUCGGUCACGAGAGAGUGGAUGCAGAUCAUUCAACCGUGUGGGCCUGCUGGUGGCUGUAAGCAGAUAUUGGCGUUGAACUGCUUUUCAAAUGCAGUAGUGCUUCGUAUGCUAAACUGUGAAGCACAUGGAUACCUUACGCCAUGUAAGUAGUGCCAUUCGUUUCAUGCCUAAAUUCACUGCAGCAGUAGUGCUUUUGGAACAGCAGCCUGGAUUUUCAUCCAGUCAAUUAGUGCCUUGCUAAUAAGCGAGGUAAUAUGCAUGAUUGAUGAUAUUGCUUGAAACGUAUGGUUUGCCAAAUAUUAGGCAAAAGGCAGGACAUUUCGUUACAAACCGUUCAAGAAUGUUUGUUCUAAACGACAUUAUCCAUCAACACCGUGAGACAGAGCUAAAAUACAGUCUGAAAACAUCUGACAAGCCUUAACAACGGCUAACAGCACCAAUUCCUGUUCUACUUCUCCAACAUGGUUGUUAACAGCCAGAUCCACCUGCCGCCAGCCCAAACAUCGUCUGACAGCCCCAUCACUGUUAGAGAAUCUGUUAGGCUAACAUUUCCUAACAGGCACGCCUGUUAGCCGCUGUUAGACCCCCUAUGAGUUGGUUGUAUACAACCGGCCUUACACGGGUCCUGUAAGAAGGAAUCAACUCCCUUGGCAUCAUCCUGAGUACUCUUUGCCUGGUCGUCAGUAAAAUUGGAGGUCACCUAUAGGUCGGGCCAUCGCCUCAUAUGUAGGACCGCGGAAUAUGUGGCGUAUAGGUGAUUUCGCGUAUAUAAUCGUAUACAUCACACCUAUAGGCGAUCUGCAGAUAGUAUACAACAGCUGUUGUAUACAGCAUGGUCUAUAGGCCUGUAGGCUAUAGGUUACCAUGUGUACGCAUGCAAAGCUGUGAGAGCCGAAAUAAUCCGUUGUAUAAAGGCAUGCCUUUAUGUAGGCCACUCGUGUAUACAGUGUUCGAGCCAAAGCUGCACUAGCUGCUGCGAAACACCUUUGACCUCCCUUAAAAUGCUGCAAACUAUGAGGUCUGUGCAUAUGAAACGUUUUGUAUUCACCCUUCAUGCCGAGGCACAUGCAUCGAUGGAGUCCAUGCAACGCCGUCAGGCACCCCUCGUCAUUAAGACCUGUUAGUAAGAGCUGUAUUUCCUGUGACCUCUGGUGUCCUAUUCGCGCCAGUUGCACCGCAAACGCCUACGAAAUUCCACAAAAAUGUUAAUAAUUCUCGUAUUCUUAAGUAUCACGCGUGGGUAUGCUUUGAAGAUACAAAAGAUGAAUAAGUUUUGCGACCGAAACUAGUUUCUGGCUUGCCGGGGUGGCAAGGACUAAACCUCUUUUCGAAAAGCACUGAAAUGAGCUCUGCAAGGUUAUAAUCUUUUCGGGGGCUUUUGCUUGAUAAGUGCAUUCCGAUACGACGGUGACAGGAGGUGGCAUCUACGUCGACUUGAAGGCAACCCUAAAGAAAGGGGAUGAACUGAAAGGGAACCAGGCCGCUCCUAACAACUGGGAAGCGUAAGCUGACUUUACUGGCCGAUAUACUUGCGUAAGCACAGAAGAUCGGGCUUUUCAAUUUCAACUUAGACUUACAAUGUUCGUAAAAUGGUCCGCUUAAAUAGUCAUAUUAGCGCGCCAUUGUCUCACACGGAGAACCACAGGAUCAAGCUCCACUAGCUCCGAAGUUACGACAUGGUCUCAGAAGCGCGCGCUAACGAACUGCAAAACCUUACACACUCCCCUCCUUAAAAACAAGCACCGUCCUCGGUGCGAAAACGUUACUAAGCGGCCAUGGUCAUGCGCCUCUCCGAUUCCCUGAACGAAAUCGGUACCAGGCUAACUAGGGGAAGGCAAAAGGGAACCGGAGUCAAGGCAAAACCUUCCCCGCACUGGAUACCGGCCUAAAAUGUGGCGCACGACUCCUACCAUAUCCGGCUUAAGAAUCCGGAGAUACGCAAAAGCUGCUACGAAAACGACUUAAAUCUGACUACACGGAACCCAAAUACCCAGACGCGAACAAACACGUGAAAUGCAAUACCACACUACGUUGAACUGACUGGUGAAACUACUGGCUAGAACAGAACGAAGACGCACAGACAUAUCGAAUACACAUGAUGAGACACACACACACACACACACACAUCCAGCCGCAGCUCUAUUCUGCUAGGAACUGUACGAUCCUUGGGGCAUGCUCCGGGAACUUGGCUCUGAACCACGCAUAGCGAUCUGAUAGCCUGAACGCGGUCCAGCUUGGGCUCCUCAGGAAGGCACGAAGCGCUGGCAGGUUGUGCACGUCGUCGUAAGGUUCCCAUGAGGGGUCGCGUUUACUACUAGCGGACCACUGCACGAGGAACAUGACGGACGGGCGUGCGCGCUUGUUAUACCCUAGUUGAACAGCUGUAACAACGGUAUCUGCACUGUCAUAGGGGGAUUCUAGUGCAGUAGGGGCUGCAGGUGGAGGUGGUGGUCGGCCGGGGAAGAGCGCUGGGUCGUUGUCCAUCCAUGGGAGAAGGCGGCUGAUGUGGAAUACUGGAUGCAAGCGGCCGAGGGAGGCUGGAAGGUGAAGGCGGUAUGCAACUGGAGAAAUGACGGAGGAGAUGAGGAAAGGGCCGAGGUAGCGAGGGCGGAGUUUUGGGGAGGGGUAGGUCGGCAGGGUGAGGUGUUCUGUGGACAGGCGGACGCGAUCGCCAACUUUGAAGGUGAUGGCGCGGUGAUGCUGGUUAGCUGCGGCAGCGUAGCGGGUUUUGGCGGCUUGGAUUUCGCGGUUGAUGGUGGCAUGGAUGUCGCUCAUACGCUGCUGUAGUUCUGUAGCCUGCGGGUGAGAGGAAGGUGAAGCGGCUUGGGGGCCGUGGAGGGAGAUGGGAGUGCGCGGGUGGUAACCAUGAUUGGCGUAGAAUGGUGUCAUGCCGGUGCUUGCGUGGGUGGCGUUGUUGUAUGCUGCUUCGGCGAUCGGAAGGUAAGAUGCCCAGUUGUCCUGCAUAGGUUGAGUGUAAGCGCGGAGGAUCUGUUCAAUAGUGCGAUGUGUUCUCUCGGUUUGACCGUCAGUUUGUGGAUGGUAGGCGGAGGAGAUGUUAAGGGACGUGCCAAGGUGCUCCCAGAAGGUGCGCCAGACGUCGGACAUGAAGCGGGAAUCUCGGUCUGAGACGAGGGUUGUUGGAAGACCGUGUAGACGGUAGACGUGGGCGAGAAAGAGUAGGGCGGUGUCGUGGGCGGUGGUGGUCUUGUUAGUGAGGGCGAAGUGGGCUUGCUUGGUGAACAUAUCGACGAAGGUGAGGAUUGCGGUGUAGGUGCGGCCGUCUAAACCUUUAGAGGGCGGCAGGUCGGUGAUGAAGUCCAGAGACACGUGUGUCCAGGGUUGGGUGGGAGUAGGUAACGGGUGGAGGAGGCCAGGCGGAGGCUGGGUGGAUGGCUUGGUGCGUUGACAGAUGGGGCAGGACUUGACGUAGGCUUUGACGGUGCGGGCCAUGUAAGGCCACCAGUAGCGGGUUGAUAUCGCAGCGAGGGUGCGACGGAAACCAGGAUGACCAGAGUAAGCAGCAUCGUGGAAUUCGUGAAGUAGGCGGCGUCGUAAGGAUGGGACGUUAGGGAUGGCGAUGCGGUUGGCGAAGUAGAAGAAACCGUCUGGGGAACGUUGGAGGUAAGGCUUGGUGGAUGUUGAAUUGGAGUACAUGGGGUCGGCGGUGUAUCCGAAACGGAUGUCAUCUGCGAGGCUGGGGUCUGGCACGACAUGGGCUGCGAUGGUGAAACAGGCAUGAUGAAGGGCAUGGUUAGCUGCGACAUCGACGGGUGGUGAAGUGGAGGGCCAAAGCGGGGGAGGUGAUGGAGAUGUAAUGGAGGUUAGGUUUUCUGCUGAUGUAGUGGAAGGUGAGGGACUGGGGUCAGAGGGCUCUGGGUUAGGGGCUGAGCUGACCGGGAAGCGGGAGAGGGCGUCGGCCAUAUUUUGAGGGCCGGGGCGAUAAGUGAUUGUGAUGUAGCCUUGGAAUGGGGCGAGGAGCUGAGCCCAACGGGCUUGACGACGAGAUAGGUCCUUUUGGGUGAAGAAGCGUUGCAAGGUGUCGUGGUCUGUGCAGAGCGUAAAGUGGCAGCCUUUGAGAUAGCACCGAAACUUACGCACUGCAUGUACGACAGCAAGCAACUCCAGCUCAUGGAUGGGGUAGUUGGCUUCGUGACGGCUGAGCUUGCGGGACUCGAACGCCACGGGAUGUAGGGCGCCGUUGCGUUCUUGAAGGAGCACAGCACCAAUGCCGAGGAUGGAGGCGUCGGUAUAAAGGGUGAAGGUGGCGUUGGUGCCGGUGUCUGGGAUGAUGAGAGCUGGGGCUGACAUUAGGGCGUCGCGGAGGGCAUGGAAGGCGGCGACGGCGUCGGCGGGUAGGACCUUGGGAAAGGGCUGGGUUGUUUUGGUGAGGGUGGUAAGAGGAAGGGCAAUGCGGGCGUAGUCUUUGAUGAAGCGGCGGUAGAACCCAGUGAAGCCUAGGAAGGCGCGAACGUCGGUGAUGGAGGAAGGAAUGGGGAAAUUGGCAAGGGCGGUGAGCUUGUCAGGGUCUGUCGUGAUGCCGUCGCGGGAGACGAUGAAUCCGCAGAACUUGGUGGAGGGUUGCGCGAAAGAGCACUUGGAAAAGCGGACAUGGAGGUGGUGGUCUUGAAGUGUGCGUAGAACGGCUUCCACGUCGCGGCAGUGGUCUUCAAAGGUGCGGGAGUAGAUGAGGACGUCGUCGAGGUACACAACCGCACACUUGUUGCGGAAGGGGUGGAGGACGUCGUUCAUGAGGGACAUGAAGGUGGCGGGGGCUCCUGUAAGUCCGAAGGGAAGAACGAGCCAUUCGUACAGACCAUACUUACACCGAAAAGCCGUUUUAUGCACAUCGGGUUCGUGCACACGGACUUGAUGGUAGCCUGACCAGAGGUCCAGCUUGGUGAAAUAGGCUGCGCCGUGCAGCUGGUCAAGGAGCUCGUCCACGCGCGGCAGGGGAUACGCAUUCUUGACUGUGAGCUGGUUGAUUGCACGAAAGUCCACACAGAGGCGUAGACCGUUACCACCAGGUUUCCGGGCGAACAGAAUAGGGGCACCAAAGGGUGACGUCGACGGGCGAAUCCAGCCACGGUCAAGGUAGUUCUUGAGCUGCUUGUCCAGUUCUUGAAGUUCUGCUGGGGACAUGUGAUACUCACGCUGCUUAGGAGGCUGGGCGUCAGGGACCAACUCGAUGUGGUGGUCGCAUGGGCGUGAUGGUGGUAGACCCGAUGGUUCUUCGAAGAUGGUCGCGUAGCGCUGGAGGACAGGCUGAAGGGCUGGUGGUACGGACGGGGAGGCGGUGGGUUGAGGGGGGGCUUCAGGGUCGACUUCGGGAUCUUCGAUGGGACGGAGGACACCCAUGUAAACAGGUGGUGAUGGGUUGAAUGGAGCUCGCUUGCGAGGGUUGGUGGCGUUCGGUGGUGGCGGUCGUGCGGCAGCUUGGCGAAUGCAUUUCUGCAUGCGGGCGAUGGAGACGAAUUCAAUCUGAAAAGCGGAUGGGCAAUACGAGGAAUGUAAUGUAAUGUAAUGUAAUGUAAUGUAAUGUAAUGUAAUGUAAUGUAAUGUAAUGUUACAGAGUGGGAGGCUUCUGGGCCGCUUUAUCACAUUGUCAGUUCUAGAUCAUUUAUCACCUUAUAGCACCAUCCACCACUACCACACUGUACUUCGCCAUACGAACUGUUAGUCCAAGGCGGCGGAUCCAGCCUUCAGGGACCCCUCCUCAUCCAUUCACCCGAACACCCGAAGAGACGGAGGGUUCGGCAAUCGCCACCAAUCUAGCGUGCGAAUCUGGUCCAUCAACUGUGACCUCAACUCCACAUCUCAGCAGCUAGCCAUAAUCUCGCGCUCCCGACUAAUUCGGGGGUCUCCCCAGGAAUCGAACCCAGGACCUUAAACUGCUAAUUGCAGUAGUGUCAACCCAGACCAGACCGGAUGGGCAAUACGAGGAAUGUGGAAUGACGGUGUCGCCGAUGGUGACGGUGUUGGUACGCCAGUCGAUUUGGGGGUUGUUGGUAGUAAGCCAGGGUUUCCCAAGGAUGGCGUCGUAUCCGUCAAGGUCGAGGGUGAAGAAGGUGGUGCGCUCAUGGUGUGAUUGGAUAGCCAAGGGGGCGUUGGGAAGGGCGGAGGAACAGAGGGUGAGGUGUCCGUUGGCCAAACGAACGCGAAACGACUGCGAAGCUGGAAGGUUGGCGGAGUGUAAUUGGUGAUGUUGGAGGAAGGAGUGGGCGAUGAAGUUGCGGGAAGCACCAGAAUCCAGGAGGACUCGAGCGAGGUGGCCAGCUAUGGUGGCAUCGAAGACGAUAAGGGUGGUGGAGAGAUUGUCGGUGACGGACGCAAUGCGACCUAGGAUAGGCGGGAUGAAGGGGCGUUCCACCGUAGACCUUUGUUCGUCUAUCUGCGGAAGUGAAGCUUGAGGAGCGCGGUGGGGCUGGGGGGUAGGACGUUGUACGAGGGGGAAAGAUGGUUGGGCUGGCUGGCUGACGGUUGGUGGAGGCGGAGGUGGGGAAGAGGCAGCGGAUGUUGGAGUUUGCGAAAAACGAGCGAUAAGAUUAGCGACAUUAGAGCGUGGUGGUGGAGGUUGGUCCGAUGGCUGGGGCGGCGGUGGGGGAUGUGAGCUGGAAAAAUGUUGGAUGAGAGUUUUGACCGACAAUGUGGAUGAUGUUGACGGAUGGUUGGGGGAAGCGAAUGAAGGAUGGGACGAGGUGGAGACGGGGUGAAGGGUGGUAUCGGGAAGCGGGGUGGCGGAUGUAGACGCGAGAGUAAAGGGGGCGGACGAUGGUGGAUCGUGGAGGACUACUACAGGCCAAGGGCUGGGACCCGGUUCUCCAUACCUGGACGGGUCUGAAGUGGUGGGGCGGCAGACGAUCUGGGCGCCGGCAGGGAAGCGGUGGACGAUGGUCAUGUGGCGGAUGAGGGGGGCCCAAGGGGCUUGUGGACGAUCGGGUAGGACAAUGAUGGCAGAGGUUUUGGGGUUGGCGGUCUUGGCGUCGAGGUAGCGGGCGACGAUGGUAGAGACGUUGUCGACAGGUGGCACCAUCCAUAUGCACUCUCCUUCGAUGUCGGUCGAUAGGAAAGGUCGGGACGGUGAGAAAAAGGGCGAGAGCUGUGCAGUUAAGCCGAGGUCAUCACAGUAGGCAUCGAUGGUAAACGGGCCGUACUGUGAAUCAUAUUCAAGAAAAAGCGAUCGCGCGAUUUUCCAAUCAUUGCUUGCCUGGCAUGCUCCCUUCGAUGACGAGGCUGCAGCUGCGCGAGCACGCUUGCGACCAACACGGCGGGCAGGCUUGCGGACGAUUUGAGCUAGACGUUGAACGUUGAACGCGGUUUCGGACGAGUGCACAGCAGACGACGUCGGCAGGCUGUGGCUGACCGUUUCUGCCGACGACGGCCUAAGAGCCGAUUUAACGGGGGCCUGGGGAGCGGGAGCGGGUAGGGGAUUUGUUGCUGAUGUGCUGGGAGCGGCGGCCGUGGGAGCUGUUACUGACGCGGGAGGGAGAACGACCGCGAUGGCUGUGGUUGUCGUAUUGUCGGUGGCCGCGUGAACGUCGAUCCUCGGAGGCGGAGGACGUGGAGGAGCGGGAGGGCGAGCGGGCAGGCGAGCGGGCAGGCGAGCGGGGCGGCUUGCGGCUGUUGUUAGCACCCUGAAAGGAGUGCCGGCGGGAGGAGUUGGGUUGGGAGAUGGUGGUUGCUGCCAGGAGGCGACGAAGUUCCGGGCAGUGUUCCUUGGCGUGCGACUCGUCACCACACUGUAGGCAGACGUGCUGGGCCAUGCGCUGGAGGCGCAAGUUGUAGGGGACUCCGAUGGUUUUGAUGCUGCUCGGAAGAGGUGAGGUGCUGUGGUGCGGCGUGGUGGAGUAGACGUUGGCGGUGAGGUCCAUAGGGUCGUCCCGGUGGACGUCUCGGGAGCUACAUGGCGCGGUGUUGUAGUCGAUGAGGUGGGCGUUGUGGCGCCCGGAAAAGAUGCCCAUCGCCAAGUCAAUGAUGAUCUGCAGGGUCACAUCAGUGCCGUAUUGAGGAAGCCUUGCGUAGACUUCCUCGCGGAGGUCCCUGUUGAGACCUUUCGCGAAGUGAAAGACGUGGUCGAGUUCGUGACGGUGAGGAAGGUCGCCCAUAAGGCGUCCGAAAGCGGCCACGUACGACACCAGAGAGUUCGGGCCUGAGCCUUGACGAAUGGUGUCCAUGCUGAUCUGGGCCUGGAGGAGGCGAUCGGGUCUGGGCGCGAGGGGCGUUAGCGCUUGAAGGACCGCAGUUAAGGAAGUAAAGGGGGUACGUUGGUGGUGGAGGAGGAGGGUGUCCAGGGUAGGUCCUUCGAUGGCAGACAGGGCUAUGGCGACAGCAGGCGCACUGUCUUCAUGCAGACCGCAUACCGUGAAGUGGAGGUGGAGGCGGUUGGCCCACGAAGCGAGGUCGGCGUCCUUGGCCGUGGGGUUGAAUCGGGGGGCUGGUCAGCGCUGGUUGUUUGACGAACGAUUCUCUAAGGCUCGUACGGCAGCAUGUGCGGCGACUUCUGAGAUUCUAUCCCAGGGGAGAGCGGCUUCGGACGUGGUGGGGGGCGCCGCGGGCGCGGGCGCGGGCGCGGGCGCAGGCGCGGGCGCGGGGUCGGUGGCGGCAGGGAAGGAAGGCAUAAACGGGAACUCGUUCGAGAGAGACAUGGUUGAUGAAGAGGUGACGAGGACGAAGACGAAGUGACGAGGGCGAUGACGAAGUGAUCAGGGCGAUGACGAAGUGAUCAGGGCGAAGGCGAAGUGAUGAGGACGAAGACGAAGACGAAGUGAUGAAGGCGAAGACGAAGUGAUGAAGGCGAAGACGAAGUGAUGAAGGCGAAGACGAAGUGAUGAAGGCGAAGACGAAGUGUAGAGGUGAAGAUGAUGGCGCGAUGGCGCGAUGGCGCGAUGACGACGAAGACGAUGGCGACGACGAUGAAGAGCUCGGCGAGGAGGAUCACCUAGGUCUCGAUACCAAUUGAAAGGGAACCAGGCCGCUCCUAACAACUGGGAAGCGUAAGCUGACUUUACUGGCCGAUAUACUUGCGUAAGCACAGAAGAUCGGGCUUUUCAAUUUCAACUUAGACUUACAAUGUUCGUAAAAUGGUCCGCUUAAAUAGUCAUAUUAGCGCGCCAUUGUCUCACACGGAGAACCACAGGAUCAAGCUCCACUAGCUCCGAAGUUACGACAUGGUCUCAGAAGCGCGCGCUAACGAACUGCAAAACCUUACAUGAACUAACAGAUUUAAAUUAUGUUUCUUGGCUGCACCAAGUAUUUUCCUAGGCGAGAAGUUCAUGGUCUGCUGCCGACCCAACCUCCGGUACGACAGUGCUAGACAAACGUAGCAGAUGUUCAUAAAUGACUUUUAUGUUUAUGUUAAUAUUAUUGCUAUAGCGGCUCUGGCCCGGACGGGUGUAAGAUGUGCGUUGGUCGACGCGUUGGCCUUAGAAGAAGUAGAAAAACGCGAAGAGAACACGUGAAUUCAUAUGCAGAAGUCAUGGACGGCGACGUUUUACGCUCUGAAUGGUGAUUCCUGCUUUUGUGUUCGGUUCUGGACCUCACAUGUUGUCGUACCGGAAAAUUGUCUUCCGGUACGGCGGUACAGGAGGUAUCUGCGUCGACUUGUAUGCAAAACACUGAGGUCCUGGUGAAGCAGCUGCCCGCGUUCGCAAAGUGUCUAUAGUUGUGGAAGGUGCCGAAGUGCGUCGGUGAAACAGAAUGUGGCCGGAUUGGAGAGAAAAGUGCAGCAGUAUAUUGUGAGUGUAGUUGAAGCGUUUUACAAGGCGUUUGGCGCACGGGCGAAUGUACAUGCAUUCCUAUCAUCGUGGGUGCGUCUCGUUGCUUGGCCUGCAACGCGUAUACAGUACUUGUAGCGUCAGUCCUCAGCUCACUUCUUGUAACGAACAUCAGCAUAGGUACAAGCCCUCCCGGUUGGAGGGAUAUGCAAAAACAAACAUAAUGAAGGGUAAACUCGCAACCUACCGAGCAUUCACCCGACCAGGCGACGAGCCGUCCUUGACACGGCUCUGAACGACUUUCCUGUUUUUAUGUUUAAUUAAUUUUGUGUAUGUUAUAUUUUGCCGCAAGUUUGUAAUUUGACUUUACUCUGGACAAGGUGCUGUAUGCGUUGCACAAAAGUGCCUCACCCAACGCUUCCUCUUCUGGCGGCCGUUUCAUGAGCCCAGUCUUGCAAGCUACAUUGUUUGCUUUCGGUGCUUUCAGUUACGGCAAAGCAGCCACCCACAUUUCCGGCCUGCAUACCGCGUGCGACUGUGGCCAACAUGCACUCCUGCACAACCCCCUGCCUUUCGCCCCAAAAAAUGACAUACACUUGUACACGCGCAUUUUGAGAAUCGCACGCGCGCAUCCGCGCGGUAAAAUUCGCUCCUGGCUUUUGGGGUGUCUUGUAGGGCCCGGACCGGACACGAUUGUGCGAGAGGCUGCUUAACCAAUUACACCUAGGGAUCAUAUGGUGGUUGCAUCGCAUGUUUCUUGGCCGCAGCCAGGAGCAAACUCAAAUGGAGUUGGGCCAUUUGCCCAGGCUGCCGCAUGGACGACAAGCCAGGCUAACGCAGCUGAUGUCCAUGAAUGCCCUUUACAUUUUGAGUAUAAAAGUCACAUCUACCCCUAACUUACAUUCUGGGUUUAGUACUACUGGUCAGGCGCGACAAUUACUCCCGAGAGAUCCAGGUAUCGAGGCACGGUACCACUGAGAGCAUUAUCCAAGUCAUAGGCGCAACAAUGUUAACGAAACAUUAAGAGAGGUAGUGUGGAUAUCGCACUUUCGAUUAGAGUGAUGACUUGGGUAUCUAAAGGGUGACUCCAAGUAAAUUUCUAUUAUGUGAUGCCUGUACAGGUCCUAUUAUAGGGAAUCAUGUAUACUUGCGUCUAUAUAGGCAAUGUCGUUUACAACAUCAAGUGUAUACAAACCGUAUACAUGACCUGUAUACCGCAUAGCCUAAACAUCCCUUGCUACAGGUUAUGAUGUAAAAAUGUACUUAUAAUACUAUGCCAUACACGAUUGUAUAUUAGGCCAUCACUUACACAUGCGCCUCUUAUGCCUAAGCCUUUAAGUUUCGUAGAAUACGUGUAGAGCUAAAUGGCCUAUAUACCUUUCACCUAAUUUCCCGAAUAUGUCAUCUAUACAUAUGCCCGAAAAAAUACAGACGGUGUUACAUUGGUGCGGAAUGCUAGGAGGUGAGAACACUCCGGAUCAAAUCCGGAUGCGAACAUACCACACACCAGGCAAUGAUGCAGUGUACUCUUCCCCAAACAUGAUGCCCAGUUGGGCGAAAAGUCUACCAGCUGAGUGAAAUCAAAGUCAUCCAUCUUGGAUGGGGACUGACAUCACUCAUCAUGACGUUCACUCGAGGGGGGGAGGAAUAUAAGAAGGGAUCAGAUCCCCUGGCAUCUCCCUGCACAGUACUCCCUGAAGAGUACUCAGCUGAGUACUCUUUGCCUGGUGUUACAGGUCCCGCUAUCAGUGAGGCCAGCGGUAUCACCUUCUCACCACCUCUCGACCACCCUUCUCCACUGGCUGGCAUCCCACCGCGGGAGCUUUGUUAGUUAACAUCGCAAUCCAGCGGAAUAUCACCCCACUCCAGCAACAAAUGGUGGAACAGAGCCAGCUCCUGGCCUCCAUGGCCAAAGUAAUGACAGCUAGCUAUAGCCAAAAUCCGGCAGCCACCAUUCUGUCACCAGCCCAGGCAGGGGCGGCAUCGGUCGCACCCGACAAGGCGAAAAGAAGCAAGGACAAAAAGAAGAGGAAGGACGACAGCUCAAGUUCAAGUUCGUCAUCAAGCAGUGACGACAAGGCACCGAAGUGGUUGUGGUGCUUGGUGGACUGCAUCGAGGCUCAACAGCCUACAGACCCAUCUGGUUUCCUCAAACAAGUCUUCCACGGUUUUGACACGCAGGGAAAGCUGGCAUUAGCUUUGCUGGUGGAGGUUCCGCCGAACGUGAAGGGUGCUAUGAAAGUCCUCAAGCCUAUGGUUCACCGUGCAAGGUCGGCAUGGUAGUCACCAAAGCGCACAUCAGUCUUGCGGCUGGGAAAUUUGUUUCAGCAUUCUAUGUGUAGUAGCUGGUACACAGUAAGGCUCUACAUAUACGACCGCCAGCAUCGUAAGGCCUUCUUAGCGGCCAGCUACUACAUUUGGUAUCGAGACCUCGUGAAAAUUCAUGAUCCUGAAGUUGCUGGUUCAAUCCCCACCAUUAUGCUUGGUGGAAUAUCGGGUAUGGUGACUCAGUAAUCAUCGCGGUAAAUUGUAGCUGAACCGACUGGACUGUCCCGAGGCCUGAAAAACCUUAAGACGGCUAGAUGCAUGUGAAAGCGACACAUGACGUGACGAGGACUGGUCACCCACUGCCCGAGGGUAGGCGAGGGUAGGCACAGGCUGGUGGUAUACGUGGCCGUAAGGGCCCGAGACAGAUCCCUUCAUAGGGGGGGAAUGUAGUAGCUGGCACACCGUACAGCUCUACAAAUACACAUGAAGCGUGACCACCAGCAUCUCGAGAGGCCUUUUCAGCGGCCAGCUACUACACUAUGCAAUGAGGAGAAGUUUUGGGACACGACCAAGCCAGGAAAACUAAUAGAUGGAGUCAAGGAGCAAGCGCUAAAGAACACUGCCGGCCGCUCAGGUGGGGGUGUGGGCGGACACAGCACAGGUGGUGAUGGAGCAGGUGGCUCAUGCGGAGGUGGAGUGUGCAGGCUCUGGACACGACAACAAGAGGCGCGCUGAUGACGUUGGCCAUAAUGCACGAGAUGAAAAGCAGCACCGUUGAGGAUUGUACACAGGCCCGCAUGCCAUUGUCUCGGAUGUCUUUCGUCUUUCAGUGAGCUGCACCCACGUUCACCUUGGCUAUCUGGUUGUGCACCUGCGUGCACUUCAGUCCCAUCACUGUGUGAACGCGUGCACUUUGGCCAUUACCAUGCUCCCGCGUGCACCUGGGCUACGUCUCUAAAAUUGGAAGUCACCUAUAGGCCGGGCCAUCGCCUAAUAGGUAGGACCGCGGAAUAUGUGGAGUAUAGGUGAUUUCGCGUAUAUGAUCGUAUACAACACACCUAUAGGCGAUCUGUUGUAUACAGCAUGGUCUAUAGGCCUGAAGGCUAUAGGUUAUCAUGUGUACGCAAGAAAAGCUGUGAGAGCCUAUAAUCGUUGUAUAAAGGUAUGCAUACCUAAAGGCAUAUAUGCCUUUAUGUAGGCCGCUCGUAUAUACAGUGUUCGGGCCAAAGCUGCACUAGCUGCUGCGUGCGAAACACAUUUGACCUCCCUUAAAAUGCUGCAAACUAUGAGGUCUGUGCAUAUGAAACGUAUUGUAUUCACCCUUCAUGCCGAGGCACAUGCAUCGAUGGAGCCCAUGCAUUGCCGUCAGGUACCCCUCGUCCCUAAGAUCUACUGCUGUAACAACCACGCACACAUACUGCUAGUAGUCAUAAGAGCUGUAAUUCCUGUGACCUCUGGUGUCCUGUUCGCGCCAGUUGCACCGCAAACGCUUCCACAUGAACUGUUAAACUGUUUAAAAUUUUCGUAUUCUUAAGUAUCGCGCGUGUGUAUGCUUUGAAAAUACAGGAGAUGGAAAAGGUACGCUUACAGCGCUAGCCGUCAGCGAUUUCUGGCUUACCAGGGUCUCAAGAUCUAGGACCUCUUUUCCGAAAGCACUGAAAGGAGUUUUGCAACGUUAUGUAAUCUUUUCGGGGACUUUCCAUGGACCUGCCGGCGAAGUAAGGGAAUGAUAUGCGCACGCCGCCGAAUAAGUAAUUAUCAGUAAAUUGUUAACCUGCAGGUAUCACGUUGAACUUCUUAAUGCAAUGCCAACAUAAACCAAACAGAACAAGCCUACAACAUGACUUCCAAAGGGUGGCAUGUAUGUUAGAAGCGCCCUGCAUUCCGNNNNNNNNNNNNNNNNNNNNNNNNNNNNNNNNNNNNNNNNNNNNNNNNNNCUGGUGCGAUUUAUGCGCCCGGAAGCCCUUUCAGCCUCACAGGCAUGUCCCCACCUGCCUCACAGCCGCCGACGCAUCUCACGGCGGGGGUCUAAUUGCGUGUGCAUAUGGAUGCUCCUAUUCCCCGCCGCCUUUCUAGCAACUAGUAAUGUUAUGAUGCAUCGUUGGUCCGGCGUACGACGGCGCCUGGUGCGAUUUAUGCGCCCGGAAGCCCUUUCAGCCUCACAGGCAUGUCCCCACCUGCCUCACAGCCGCCGACGCAUCUCACGGCGGGGGUCUAAUUGCGUGCGCGUAUGGAUGCUCCUAUUCCUGCCGCCUUUCUAGCAGCUAGUUACUGUUAUGAUGCAUCGUUGGUCCGGCGUACGACGGCGCCUGGUGCGAUUUAUGCGUCCGGAAGCCCUUUCAGCCUCACAGGCAUGACCCCACCUGCCUCACAGCCGCCGACGCAUCUCACGGCGGGGGUCUAAUUGCGUGCGCGUAUGGAUGCUCCUAUUCCUGCCGCCUUUCUAGCAGCUAGUUACUGUUAUGAUGCAUCGUUGGUCCGGCGUACGACGGCGCCUGGUGCGAUUUAUGCGUCCGGAAGCCCUUUCAGCCUCACAGGCAUGACCCCACCUGCCUCACAGCCGCCGACGCAUCUCACGGCGGGGGUCUAAUUGCGUGCGCGUUCGCAUGCGGCAUGUCCCGCCACCUUUCUGGCAUCUAGUUGAUGGUAUGAUGAAUCGUUGUGCGGUGUAGGGCUGCGCCUGAUGCGAUUUCGUUUGCGGAAGCCCCCCCUGAGUGCUGCCAAGCAUGUUAUUCUCUCAUGAGACUGCGUGAAGGUUUACGAACUGAGUAUGCGACCAACACAUAAAACAUCGCAUGCGAAUUGUUAUGUCAUGCGAUUCAUCAAAGGUAAAUCGUGUGUGCUUGUUGUGUGUUAGCUUAGGCCGCAUUAAGCUUGACGCAACGAGCCUUCAUACGCUUGAAACGCAACAUUUGUUUGCAUGCGAAUUGCGUUGCGAUAUGUGUGCGUUUGGUAAGUGUUAGGCUGCGUUAAGCUUUACGCAAUGAGCCUUUAUACGCAUGAAACGCAGCAUGUAUUAGCAUGCGAAAUGCGUUGCGAAAUGUGUGCGUAAGGUGAGUGUUAGGCCGCGUUAAGCUUUACGCAAUCAGCCUUCAUACGCAUGAUACGCAACAUGCAUUCGCAUGCAAAUAGCCUUGCGGACUGUGUGCGUUUGAUGUGCGAGUGGACGCGAAUUGCUUUACGCAUUGUCUCCCCACACGCACGAAUCGCAAUAUGGAAUCGCAUGCGUAUCGCCUUGCUACACAUGCGCGUAUGCUUCGCGUUUCAACAUACGCACGGAUAAAUUGUUCAAGUCGAUCAAACGACGCAAGUUUAUUUGCAAAUAAACCUUUACAAUCUGAAAAUUAUAAAAUUUUAAAAAACUUGGCCAGAAGGGCCGAUUUCCGCUUUUCCAUAGCCGUUGUGCGUUAGCUCUUUGCGUUACAAAAGCAUGCUCAUUCGCACCUAACGCUAAGAUUCGCACCGUUACGCGAACUAACGCGAGCUAACGCGGACUUAACGCGAUCACCCGUCGUCAUAGUGGUUGCGCCUGCGAUCGGCCAUAGCCGCAGACGCGGACGCCGCAAAUGCUAUCUGUUUACACCCUACAGGCGUGGUUCACGUACGUAUUCGCGUAUAUAGAAUAUCAUAAUAGAAAUUAUGCGUGUUCCUUGCGACUUGCGAGUUGCAAGUUGCGACUUGCAAGUUGCGACUUGCGACUUAAGCAGUACGCAAGAGUGCACUUCGCCUCGCACCCGCAAUUUGUUUUGCAAGCCGCCAUAAGAUUGUGGAGUGGCAAAUGCUUUCAGGCCGGUCUAUUAUACCAUGGCACGCGUCUAUUGUGCCAUCUAUAUACCAAUCGAUACAUGUAUUAUUGUACAAUAAUUCUACCAAAAAUCCAUUCCUCGGUCCUUUUUGAUAUAUGAUUACCCUAUAUAUAUGUAGACCAUGAAACAUUUACCGAUGCGUUUAGGUGAUACAGAUUACAGGUGCUAACCCAAGCAUUUCAUGUGCACACGCACCUGGAAUUUUUGUAUAAAAACAAAUUGAAGUAACAGUUCUUAAUGGGGCCACAGAGGACUUCAUCCAGCCGUUGGCAUUGAAGCCUAGACAUGCUGGCAACUUUGCACAGUCGGUAGCAGCUGCUGCAGCGGAACCAGAGUUGCUCAGGUCGUCCUUAUCGUGGUCGGUGUCCGGAAGUGCAAUGUAGCCAUAAAAACUUGGACAUGCUGUGGAAUCAGGAAAGGGAAGUGCCAAACAUUGUGUAUGACUCAUUAAGCUACCAAAAGGCAUUGAUGCUGGGAGUUUCUGCAAGGUGCAAUAAGUUGUACUUAUGCAUGAACUACUUACCUUGCAAUGUACACAUCCACACUUGCUAUUUAAAUUUAUUUACUAUUCUGGCCCUGUUCACUGCUGUAGCGGGAACAGGAACAGGAAAGGGCCUGCACAAGCUACGUCAUAUGCAUGUCACACUGCGGCACUACUGGAAACAUAUUUAUUCUNNNNNNNNNNNNNNNNNNNNNNNNNNNNNNNNNNNNNNNNNNNNNNNNNNNNNNNNNNNNNNNNNNNNNNNNNNNNNNNNNNNNNNNNNNNNNNNNNNNNNNNNNNNNNNNNNNNNNNNNNNNNNNNNNNNNNNNNNNNNNNNNNNNNNNNNNNNNNNNNNNNNNNNNNNNNNNNNNNNNNNNNNNNNNNNNNNNNNNNNNNNNNNNNNNNNNNNNNNNNNNNNNNNNNNNNNNNNNNNNNNNNNNNNNNNNNNNNNNNNNNNNNNNNGCUACUGGGCUAGACUUGGAGGGUCCGACCGGGGCAACUCGUUGCUGUGGACUUGUAGGCAAGUCAAGUAGGGCUAUGGAAUGCUAGGACAAUGUUAUUAUGUUUGUGUUAUAGGCUUGGGUAGGAAUUCUUAAGCAAUACGUUGAGUGGCUUUUCCGCCGGCGGGAGGACGACAAUCCCACGCAAACAGGACGGAUGUUCCGAAUGUUGCUUACAUUCAUGUUGUCGAAGCUCGCGACGACGGCUCUGGACAGGACGGAUGUCAAGUGUGCGUUGGUGGACGUGAUGGCAACGUAGUGAAGGACACGGACGCGCAUGCACAGGCCAUGGAAUGGUAUGUCUAAAUCAUGGAUGGCGACGUUCAACUCUCAGAAUGGUGAUUUCUGCCUUUGGGUUCAAUUCUGAACCUGGAAUGCUGCUGGCUCUGCCCGUACCGGAAAAGUGCUUUCCGGUACGGCGGUGUCAGGAGGUGGUAUCUACGUCGUCUUAGGGGCAACCCUAAGACUAAGGGGAUGAACGAAUAGAGAUAUACUUAGGGUUUCUUGGCUGCAGCAAGUGUUGUCCUGGGCGCGACGUUGAUGGCCUGAUGCCGACGCGACCUCCUUUACGACAAUGCUAGGCAAACGCAGCGGAUGUUCAUGAAUUACUUAAGCGUUCAUAUUACUCGUCACAGCUUCAACGGCACUGUACUGGGCGGAUGUAAGAUGUGCGUUGGUGGACGCGAUGGCCUUACGAAGGGGGAGAAAGACGCUUAGGAGAUGCUUGGAUUGUUAUGUACAAGUCACAGACGGGGACGUUUAACUCUAUGAAUGCUGAGUUUUAGCUACUAGUCGGGUUUUUUGAACUUCGCUGUUGUUGGUUCCGCCCGUACAGGAAAAGUGUCUUCUGAUACGGCGGUCACAGCAGGUAGUAUCCGCGUCGACUUGUAUGCAAACCAAAUACAACGAAACCAGGGGAUGAUAUGACAGUUUUGGAAUGCUUGUUUCUUGGCCGCAAGCAGCAGCAUACUUAAAUCGCGUUGGGCCAUUUGCCCAGGCUGCCGNNN
rnacentral:lncRNA from 1 species